rnacentral:rRNA from 3 species
CUUGACACUGAACAUUGAGCCUUGAUGUGUAGGAUAGGUGGGAGGCUUUGAAGCGUGGACGCCAGUCUGCGUGGAGCCGACCUUGAAAUACCACCCUUUAAUGUUUGAUGUUCUAACGUGGACCCGUUACCCGGGUUGCGGACAGUGUCUGGUGGGUAGUUUGACUGGGGCGGUCUCCUCCUAAAGAGUAACGGAGGAGCACGAAGGUUGGCUAAUCCUGGUCGGACAUCAGGAGGUUAGUGCAAUGGCAUAAGCCA